AUUGAACGCUGGCGGCAGGCUUAACACAUGCAAGUCGAGCGGUAACAGAGAGAAGCUUGCUUCUCUGCUGACGAGCGGCGGACGGGUGAGUAAUGCCUAGGAAUCUGCCUAGUAGUGGGGGAUAACUUGCCGAAAGGUAAGCUAAUACCGCAUACGUCCUACGGGAGAAAGGAGGGGACCUUCGGGCCUUUCGCUAUUAGAUGAGCCUAGGUCGGAUUAGUAAGUUGGUGAGGUAAUGGCUCACCAAGACCGCGAUCCGUAACUGGUCUGAGAGGAUGAUCAGUCACACUGGAACUGAGACACGGUCCAGACUCCUACGGGAGGCAGCAGUGGGGAAUAUUGGACAAUGGGGGGAACCCUGAUCCAGCCAUGCCGCGUGCGUGAAGAAGGUCUCAGGAUUGUAAAGCACUUUAAGUUGGGAGGAAGAGCAGUUAACUAAUAUUUGACUGUUUUGACGUUACCGACAGAAUAAGCACCGGCUAACUUCGUGCCAGCCGCCGCGGUAA
rnacentral:rRNA from 1 species